CGCCCAAUGCCGGAAUUUGGUAUACGAUGCGGAUUCAAAAUCCGUUGCUGAAAAGCGUCUGGGUUCGACCCCCAGUUGGGCGACCA
rnacentral:tRNA from 1 species